rnacentral:rRNA from 1 species
UACGUAGGGUGCGAGCGUUAAUCGGAAUUACUGGGCGUAAAGCGUGCGCAGGCGGUCUGUUAAGACCGAUGUGAAAUCCCCGGGCUUAACCUGGGAACUGCAUUUGUGACUGCACGGCUAGAGUGUGUCAGAGGGGGGUAGAAUUCCACGUGUAGCAGUGAAAUGCGUAGAUAUGUGGAGGAAUACCGAUGGCGAAGGCAGCCCCCUGGGAUAACACUGACGCUCAUGCACGAAAGCGUGGGGAGCAAACAGG